CUUGCACCUUCCUUGGGGUGCAAAUCAGCCGGGACUGUGGUUCCCCGCACCCUGCUUUCCCCACCGAGCCCGCAGGUUCCCAGGAGCCACUUGAGCACGUUCCCCAGCUGCGGGCGGCUGUCUCUGGGAAGGUGGCUUCGCACCCGCUGGGUCGCACGCUGCAAAUAGGGAUUUUUUGGUGCCCGUUGUGCUGGACCCUGAUUGUGGACCGGGGGAAAGUAAAAAAGAAGAUGUCCUUUUGCGGCAGGAACCUCCAUCUUUAGACAGGUCUAAAGAUGCUAAAUCAUCACAAGAAAUCUAAGAGCCUAGCGUUUGGAUGGGAAGGAAGGCUGCUUGCUAGACUUGAAAUUAAAAGGCCGUUUCGACAAGAUUGCCAAGUCCACUUGCUGAGGAGGACUCAGCCUUUUAUGCUGCCAUGUGUUUCUCUCCGUGUGCAUAAACUUGCGUCCCUCCGCAGCGAUACAGAGAUAGGAAAGCAGUUGUGCCGUAAUGAGUGAAGCACCCCGCCGUUCCCCGUCCCAGGGUAACGAUGCCGUUUUGGGUCCGGGACCCUGCAGCCAGGCCGGGCUGUGAAUCCGCGGCGGGGGCAGAACACCUGGAAUGGGGCUGAGUUCAACCGUGAACCUGCAAAGGCAGCUUUCUGUCUCCAGACAUCUUAAAUUAAGUUCGAGAAUUUGGAGAAAAUGCUUACGUCUUUGCUCGCUGAGGAGUUGUGUUUUUUGUUUUCCUUCUCUACACAGCCUACAAUUCCAGUUCGCUCUGAAAAUAAAUAGUUAUUGAGAUAGGUGUGACCCAGCUCACUCCACUUUUUUGUUCCUAUUAUUUGGAGUUUCCCAGCAGUGAAGGGGACAUUAUCUUGCCCGGAUUCUGCUUUUAUCCCCGGGAUUUUGCAUAGUUUGCUUUCCUUAAUUCCGCAGGAAAUGGGUGCCGAGAUACAGAGGGGAAGGCGCUCCCGGGGCACUGCAGGGGCAAGCGUGACCCAGUCCUUGUUUUUGUUGUUGUUGUUUUCCUGGACUAAUGACUCCGUCUGAUUGCGGGUUUAGUCUAUAAAAUCAGGGUCUCCGUCUCUCCUUCAUCUCAGUAAGAGCCUGGACGGCCACUCACACUGAUAUCGGGAGAGGAAAAAAGAGAACGAAAAAGCAAAACGUUCAGCCCAGUCCCGAUGGGGAGGGCCGGCAGUCGGGCCGAGGGUCUCCCAUUUCACCCUACCUCGUGUCUCCCUUGCCCGGAGGGAAAGUUUUCCGUAGCAAGCAUCCGGAGCGGUGCUGCCCUCGGGACUUGAUUUCUCCCCAUCGGAGCAGAUCGCUGAGCCCGCGUACCCCGGCGAGGAGAACCGCACAAACCGGAGCUGCUCCUGGUGCAAUUUUUGGCUGUGUUUUAGGCGACCCACGACUGAGUCUCGCACCUCACUUCGGAGCAGGACCCAGGACUUCUGUCCCCUCGACACCACGGGGCCACCGCAGGUUGGCGGCGGGAGGAUCGCUGCCCUCCUCGUACCAGCUCCUCGCCGUCGGCUCCCUCCCGGUCACCUUGGCUAUGACACCCUGGAUGCCCCGCGCACUCCCACCCCGCCCAGGAAUUACCGGCGUAAACCUGGAUCCCUAGGGCCCUAUCAGGCUUCUGCCCCCACCUGGGAACAUGCCGUGGGGAGUGGGCUUCAGAGAAACGACUUUAAUGCAGCCUUCCUUAAGGCAGAAUGACUAAUUUUUAUCCCCAAAAUCUUUUCUCUCUUUACCUCUUUGCUUUACCUUUCUUUCUCAGAGAGAGAGAAAGAGAGGGAGGGAGGGAGGGAAGGAAGGAAGUAAAGAAAGAAAGAAGAAAUAAAGUGAAAAUGUUUGUGUUCUAUUUGUCAAAGGAAACAAAGGCUGCACGUCUAGCUGGCAGCUGGCUAGCGCGGAGGAUGGCCGGGCCGGGGGCAGCGCGGCUCCUGGGCUGAUCCCGGCCAGCGAGCGCCGCCCCGAGGCCACCGAGCCGCCGGCUCCGCUGCCGCCCGGAGCGCCGAAACGCCCAGCGGGGGUGGCCGGCAGUCCCAGCUAGUUUCUGCCGUGGACAAGUGGUUAAAUACAGUCUCAGUCAGCAGACGGGAGAUAACUUUUUAAUAAUUAUUACUUAUUGGUUAUGAUUUAUGUUUUUUA